rnacentral:lncRNA from 1 species
GAAGCCAUGAACCUCAAGGUCACAGGGUCCGUGUGCGACGUCUCCUCUCCGGUUGAGAGAGAGAAACUAAUGGAGGAUGUCAAGUCCAUCUUCCAUGGAAAGCUCAACAUUCUGGCGAGUCGAGUCUCGUAGUUGACCUUAGAAUGAGCGUAACAUGGACCGUAAUCGGUUUGCUGUUUGCGUAGGUCAACAACGCAGGAACGGGCUUUCAGAGACGGGUGACGGACGUGACUCCUGAGGACUUCAAGCUGCUGACGAGUACCAACUUGGACUCUGCCGUCCAUUUGAGCCAGCUCGCUCAUCCUCUUCUCAAGGCAUCAGGAAGUGGCAACGUUGUGUUCAUCUCCUCCAUAACAAGCCUCGUCGGCAUCGAUACUCUAGCCGUCUAUGCGGCAACCAAAGGUACGCACUCGAUAAAUUGGUUCCCCUAUGAGCUCUUCAACAUGCAACCACUUAUCAUCUGCUGCUGUUGGCUUCUUCUUCGUCUUGUUCAGGCGCAAUGAAUCAGCUCACCAGGAGCCUCGCUUGUGAGUGGGCGAAGGAUAACAUCCGAGCAAACUGCGUUGCGCCCGGUUACAUCAGGACGCCACUCAUCGAGCCGGUAAUGGACGCCAACUUAGCGACGUUUAGUUUCCCUUCGAAUCACUGUGUCUACUAAGUAGCAUAUAUGUGUGAGUCACAGUUAUGCGAAAACGAGGAGUUUGUGGCGAAGGAGACUAAUCGUAUCCCUCUUGGACGUCUGGGUGAGGUCGACGACGUGGCACCGGUGGUCGCUUUCCUCUGUCUUCCUGCUUCUCGCUAUGUCAAUGGCCAAGUCGUGGUUAUCGACGGAGGUCGAACUGUGAACGGCAACCGGUAAGCUUCCGGCCGGUAGAUAUAACAGCGAGUAUAGUUGAAGAAAUCUUAUCUGCUGUAAUGUGUGCCGGCGAUACCUUUCUAAAUAUUCGAAACGAUGUGUAACAUUAAUUAUAUAUUUCCAAUGGUGUGUAAAUUAAUUAAGAUGCUCGGAGACAUUGAUGCGUGCAGAAGCAGACAGUCGUGUCGCUUCGCCAAUCGAGAUUGCCGAUUGGGAAUUCCAAUGGCCAGAAAUUAGAGCUGAGUUUUGAGAUUCAACUUGCAAGGAACCUUUCGUCCCAUCGGAGGCAUUUUAGAUUAUUCAAUGUCGUAUCAGAUUGUACUAUAAUUGAUAAAGGAAAGGGUGCUCGAUGCGACCGCUAUGAUGAUAUGUCAUUAUACUUUCGAAACGAAUUAGGUAACAGAGAGGAAGAAUGGUAGACUUUACGAUUCAUUCUAACCAUAAAUGACUAUAAACAUGAUAAUUUUUUUACUUUGUGAAUUUGGAGGCUAAUAAUUUUUUUAUCAAUAUUUUUCGAAGGUUAAUUAUAAAUUAUCUUUUGUAAUUAUUUUUCUCUUAGUAUUUCAGUUUAUGUAUUUUUAAAACUUAUAAUGGAAUUCCUAUAAUUACAAAAGUAAAAAAUUUAACUUUGUUUCUCCCAUUGAUUCGGUUGAUUGAAAUACUACACAUACGUCAAAUUGAGGUAGAGUCAAUGUGCAUAGUAAUAAAUUAUUGGAUAUUUUCAUCGAUAGAGUUAACAUCAUAUACGAAGAAAUGAGGUUAAAUAUUUUACUUUCAUAAAUAUAAAAAAUAAUUUAAUUUUUAAAAAUAUAAAAAAAUUAAAAUACUGAAAAUAAUUAAUUACAUGAGGUAAUAUAUAAUUAAUUCUGACUAUAAGCAUCUUAUGAUGAUUUUUUAUCUUAUAAAAAUAUUUGAAGAGUAUUUUUUAUUUAGAUAUCGGAUUUAACGGUGAUUUGUUUUUUAGUUUUUAAUUUAUUUAGAUGUCAGUUGAUUUGACGGUGAUUUGUUUUUUAUUUUUUUAAAGGAGACCGGAUACUUUGUGGAGCAACGAGGCAGAGAGAGAGAGAGAGAGAGAGAGAGAGAGAGGAAGUGGGUGGUGGAGGAAAUCCACAUGCGAGAUGAUAGAGCAUUGAAGGCUUAGGUUAAGGAUCUCACAAUCCUUUGCCCAUCUCAUAGCGACGAAGUUUCCGAGUAUGUCAUAUUUAUCUACAGAAAUAAUAAUAUAAUUUGGAAAAUGUGUGUGGACACGACUUCUAUUGAUCCAUUCUGCAUACAGUUUCCACAUCUUAGCUAUAAAUGGAUUGAAGUAGGAAGAAACAAAGAAGAAGGAGGAAACCAAUGGACGGUGGCGACCACAAGUGCGGAGAUAACCAAGCGGUGGGGAGAUGGACUCUUGUAGGAACUACAGCUUUGGUCACCGGAGGCACUAAAGGAAUCGGGUAUCGUCAUCUUUCUUCAUACAUUUGCUCAUCCACCUCACAGCACAAACAAGUUCAUACUGAAAUCUGGAGUCUAAUUCGUGCCGAAAUUAAGGAGCUUAUGUCCAUCUUAUUAUGAGGUUUUCUCUUCCGUUCUUUUAUGGUGAUCAGACAUGCCAUAGUAGAAGAACUAGCGAGAUUUGGUGCAGCCGUCCAUACCUGCUCUCGAAACGAAGCAGAGCUCAACGAGUGCUUGCAACAAUGGAGAGCUUUGAACCUCAAGAUCACCGGCUCCGUCUGCGACGUCUCAUCUGACGUCGAGAGGGAGAAACUGAUGCAGACUGCGAACUCCGUCUUCCAUGGAAAGCUCCAUAUCUUGGUGAGAUUGUCGGCCGACUUAAGCGUCAGCAUUUAAUCCAUCCGAAGAAGAUGAUAACGCAUCUACGCUUCUUCCUCAUCCUCGCUGAUGCUCGUGGUGUAGGUAAACAAUGCCGGGACGUUGAUUUGUAAACCGGUGGUGGAGCAUACCCCAGAGGACUACAGACGUAUCAUUAGCACCAACUUGGACUCUGCCUUCCAUCUGAGCCAGCUUGCCCAUCCUCUUCUCAAGGCGUCAGGAAGAGGCUGCAUCGUCAACAUCUCCUCCGUCAGUGGCUUCGUCGCCAUCGAUUCUGCAUCCGUCUAUGCAGCAACUAAAGGUUACAUGUCACAGACACAACCGUCUCGCAUCACGAAUCUAAUAGUACUUUUCUUCUUCUUCUUCUUUCUUCAGGAGCACUGAACCAGCUGACGAGGAGCCUUGCUUGCGAGUGGGCAAAGGACAACAUUCGAGUUAACUGCGUCGCUCCCGCGUACAUCAGAACUCCACUCAUUCAGACCGUAAUGGUUCUAUCUGUUCUCCCUCCUGAAUAGGAAUCAUCAAAACCUCGUGAACUCUUCUUCCUCCUCCUCGUACUGCAUGGCUGUGUGACGCACCAGUGUUUACAAUCUCAACAGCUAUCCGAAGACGAAGAGUUCGUAGCGAGGGAGGCUCGUCGCGUUCCUCUGGGGCGGCUGGGUGAGCCAGAAGAGGUGGCGGCCGUGGUGGCUUUCCUCUGCCUCCCCGUUUCCGACUACGUCGAUGGCCAAGUCAUCAUCGUGGAUGGAGGUCGGACUGUGAACGGCAACAAUUGAAGUCUCCAUUACCACACGAUUGCUGCCAUCUAUGUUGUUCCGAGAAGCAAUACCAUCAACAUAGUUGUGCUUGGUGUGGUCGUAAUAGGUAAUGCAUUCCCGUUCUAAAUAAGAUAGCCAUCUAAAGAAUCUUUCUCGGCACAAUAAAGCUAUUUCGAUCAUGGCAAUAUCAAAUGCAGUUCCCAAUAGAUUCCUUGAUAUGUUGCCAAGCAAUCACUGAGUCAACAUAUCCCAGCUGGGCUACCGACACUGCCCAAACAGAUAUAUGCAAUCAGUGAGACUUGAAACUGAAUUAUCAGCACAUAACGAUAUACAAUGAAUGAUUAUAUGUGGGGGAAUAAAAAAGGACAAGUGAGCAUUUCGUAUAAAAGGCUCAUAUUUUUUGACUACUUACCGAGAGACUAUAGUUUGUUAAAAUACGCAGAAUCCCUUUAUAUAAAAAAAUUUAUUUUCUCGACAAAAAUCGGCCAAUUAAAUCGAAUGGGACCGAUCACAGUAAUAUAUAUUUUUUAAUUAGUAGCCAAAAUAAGGAUUAUAGUUUUAUUUUUGUUACUGAAUCAAAAAUACUAUACCUAAUUUAUUAAAAUAAAAUAUUUAUAACUUCAUAAAAAAAAAUACUAUGAAUAUUUAGAAAAGAUAGAAACUUUAUUAUGAGAAAUAUAAAAACAUUGGAUACUAUCUUGGAGAAGCUCAAAGUAGGUUUUGCCUGUAAAUCACCAAAUAAGUAAAAUAAAAAAAAGAAAAAUACUAGUUUUAGACAAUUGGAGCUUUUGGGUUGAAAGUCAUAAUGACAACCAUAAACGAAUAGGAAUUGCUACGGGCAUUAAGAUUGGUAAGAAGGAGUCGAGCAUCUUUUUUCUUAAUACAAUGUCAUAAUUUGAAAGCAAAAAAAAAAAAUAAAACAACAACAAAGUAGACAAGGAAAAGAAAAUGCAACAGGGAGCCGAGCCUCAAAAAGUAAGAAGAACUUGAUACUAGAAAGAAUUUGUUAUAAAUGAGAUAAUUUUAUCGAGGUAAUAUAUAUUUAUACAUGUUGUGAGAAAGAAAGUUUACUUAAUCAUAUGUUCAAAUUAUGCAUUCAAAUCAUAUCUUCAAAUUAUAAAUUAAUUAAAAAUUAAAAAUAUAAAAUUAUCAUUUCAUAUUUACCUAUAUCAUGUGGAUUGUGAAGUUAAUCCACAUGGGAGAUUAUAGAGCAUUGAGGGCUAAGUUACUGAUGCCACAAUCUUUUGUCCAUCUCAUACCAUACCAACGAAGAUUCGGAGUCAGUCAUAUUUAUCUACAGAAAUUACAAUGUAAUUUGGUAAAUGCGUGUGGCACCACUGCAACUAUUGACCCAAUCUGCGUACUAUUUCCACACUUACAAAUCGAGAGGACUGAGAUCUGGAUUGAAGUAGGAGAAAGAAGAAGCAGAAGGAGGAGGAAAACAAUGGAAGAUGGAGACCAGAAGUGCGGAGAUAACCAAGCGGUGGGGAGAUGGACUCUUGUAGGAACGACAGCUUUGGUCGCCGGAGGCACUAAAGGAAUGGGGUAUCGUCAUCUUUCUUCAUACAUCUACUCAUCUACUUCACAGCACAGACAAGUUCAUACAGAAAUCUAAGGUCUAAUGCCUGCCGAAAUGAAGUAGCUUAUGUCCAUGUCUAUUAUGAGAUUCUUUUCUCACUUCUUUUAUGGUGAUCAGACAUGCCAUAGUCGAAGAGCUAGCUAGGUUUGGAGCAGCCGUCCAUACCUGCUCUCGGAACGAAGCAGAGCUCAGCAGAUGCUUGCAGCAGUGGAGAGCUUCGAACCUCAAGGUCACAGGGUCCGCGUGCGACGUCUCCUCUCCAGUUGAGAGAGAGAAACUAAUGGAGAAUGUCAAGUCCAUCUUCCAUGGAAAGCUCAACAUUUUGGCGAGUCGAGUCGAGUCUCGUAGUUGACCUUAGAAUGAGCGUAACGUGGACAGUAAUGGGUUUGCUGUUUGCGUAGGUCAACAACGCAGGAACGGGCUUUCAGAGACGGGUGACGGACGUGACUCUUACAAGCUGCUGAUGAGUACCAACUUGGACUCUGCCGUCCAUUUGAGCCAGCUCGCUCAUCCUCUUCUCAAGGCAUCAGGAAGUGGCAACAUUGUGUUCAUCUCCUCCAUAACAAGCCUCAUCGGCA